rnacentral:rRNA from 1 species
GACGAACGCUGGCGGCGUGCCUAAUACAUGCAAGUCGAACGCAGUGGGGACGGGUGAUUAACACGUGGGUAACCUCCCAUCAGAGGGGAUAACACUUGGAAACAGGUGCUUAAACGCUAAUGAUGUAUGGACCCGCUGUGCAUUAGCUAGUUGGUGAGGUACCGGCUCACCAAGGCCGCGAUGCAUAGCCGACCUGAGAGGGUGAUCGGCCACACUGGGACUGAGACACGGCCCAGACUCCUACGGGAGGCAGCAGUAGGGAAUCUUCGGCAAUGGACGAAAGUCUGACCGAGCAACGCCGCGUGAGUGAAGAAGUUUUUCGGAUCGUAAAGCUCUGUUGUCAGAGAAGCGGUAUCUAACCAGAAAGCCACGGCUAACUACGUGCCAGCAGCCGCGGUAAUUC